ensembl:lncRNA
GUUCAGAGGAAAAACUGUUCUUGCAAUGCCGUUAGCUCAAAGGGGAGCCAGAAGUACUGGAGAUCUCAUAUAAGAGACACUCCAUUCCAGGUUAUGCAGGGACACCUCUCAAGACUCCUGAUACACUGCAAGACAUGAGUGACCGAGGAACAUAAGGGACCUUCUUGCUAGGAAAACACCUCCCUCUUUCCAACCCAUCACUUUUAUCCUACCUUAAAGCUGGAUGAUGGCAGAUCUCAGAUCAGCUAUGGCAGAGCACGAGGAGCCCGUCACAAGCAUCUGGAUAGGUCAACAGCUUCCAGCAGGGCAGCCUGGCCUCAGGUGAGCAUCAUCAUAACACCUUCAUUAAGAGCACCUGGGAACCAAAAAAACAACCAAAAAAAACAACCAACAAAAAACUGGCAGGUGGAUAUAUUGCCUAUCUUCAACCAUUUACCUGCUGCUUGCAGCGUGAAGAGGUGCUUCAAAACCGGUCUACUGCAGAGGGUGUUUUGUGGGGGUUAUACAGCUCCUGUGCCACCAACCCCAAGUGAGCUGGAUCCCCUCAAGCCAGAAAGGCAGGCAGAACUUGCAUGAGCAGUCCUUUCUUGGCCAGAUUUGUAUCUCCCAGUAUCUUCUGUCAUUGCUUCCCUACUGAUGGCAGCCACUGCUGGAGGGAUAGUACAGGGGAAAUCAUCCCUAGUGACUUUUCUGCUCUGUUGUUUACACUUGAUAUCUGAGACAUAGCAGAUAUUGUGGUGGGUAAAAAAUCAAGGCAACAGGACAUAGUCUGCCCUCCGAUUCCUGCUCCUUCUACCACGUCUGAUGGAGAAAAAGGUUUAUGCAAGCCUUGCCAAAAAUCUCAAACAUAAAAGCUACAUCUAGAAAUACUUUAAAGCUGGAGUUAGUCCUCACAAGUGAAUGUUCACUGUUUUCAUCAGUUUCAAGAGUUUCGAGAAUUAAUCAGCUGCGAAUUGUUUCUAAAACGAGACAAGAAGCAGCACUCAUCUGUGGGGGGUUGCAGCAAGCAUGAAAUGAAACAGAACACAAACGUGUGGCCAAAACUCUUAAAUGGGAAAACAAGCAGGCACCAAAAUAAGCAGUUGUACAAUGUGUUGUGUAAAGUGCCGUCACUGGGCAAUUCAUCAUCAACAGAAUAAAA